rnacentral:tRNA from 1 species
AUUUAAGUAAUUUAAAAUAAAAUUUUGAUUUGUGAUAUCAAAAAUGUAAUAAAUAUUACCUUAAAUU